CCAGAACAACUAUAUUAAGCUGUAGUUGUUCUUGUGACUAUAGUGUCCCUUUAAAUAAAAUCCCUGGUAAAGGGGGCAGGGAGGGAAUUAGGGAACCAUGACUAAAGUAUAUACAAAGGACAUGAACCUGUGGGGCCUAAGGCUGAAGACCCUCCACAAUGUGACCAUGGCAGGUGGGUAGUGACCCCAACCAGCAGCAUGGGUUAAUAGCCUAAGUGAGC